rnacentral:lncRNA from 1 species
UGAUGAGGGUAAUAACCAAUCAGAGGGCUUGUCUAUGAUGAGGGUAAUAACCAAUCAGACGGCUUGUCUAUGAUGAGGGUAAUAACCAAUCAGAGGGCUUGUCUAUGAGGGGGGUAAUAACCAAUCAGAAGCUUGUCUAUGAGGGGGGUUAAUAACCAAUCAGAGGGCUUGUCUAUGAGGGGGGUUAAUAACCAAUUAGAGGGCUUGUCUAUGAUGAGGGUAAUAACCAAUCAGAGGGCUUGUCGAUGAGGGGGGUAAUAACCAAUCAAAGGGCCUGUCUAUGAGGGCAGUGUCUGUCCCACUAACAGCUCUACAGAUGGUCAUACUACCAACAAAUUAUAUGUUGAUAAGAAACUGCUUGCUAAGGUAAGGAUAAGGGUUAGGAUAAGGGUUAGGACUAGGACUAGGUUAAGAGUUAGGGUUAGGUUUAGAAUAAGGGUUUGGAUAAGGGUUAGGACGGACUAGGUUAAGAGUUAGGGUUAGGUUUAGAAUAAGGGUUAGGGUAAGGGUUAGGACUAGGACUAGGUUAAGAGUUAGGGUUAGGUUUAGAAUAAGGGUUUGGAUAAGGGUUAGGACUAGGACUAGGUUAAGAGUUAGGGUUAGGUUUAGAAUAAGGGUUUGGAUAAGGGUUAGGACUAGGACUAGGUUAAGAGUUAGGGUUAGGUUUAGAAUAAGGGUUUGGAUAAGGGUUAGGACUAGGACUAGGUUAAGAGUUAGGGUUAGGUUUAGAAUAAGGGUUAGGAUAAGGGUUAGGACUAGGACUAGGUUAAGAGUUAGGGUUAGGUUUAGAAUAAGGGUUUGGAUAAGGGUUAGGACUAGGACUAGGUUAAGAGUUAGGGUUAGGUUUAGAAUAAGGUUUUGGAUAAGGG